GGGCUUGUGGUUUAGUGGUAUAAUACUCCCUUAGCAUCUGCGGCUCACGGCCCGGUGAAAAUUGGGAGUGGUCCGGGGUUCGAUUCCCCGCGAGUCCA